rnacentral:rRNA from 2 species
UUUUAUGGAGAGUUUGAUCCUGGCUCAGAGUGAACGCUGGCGGCGUGCCUAAUACAUGCAAGUCGAACGAUGAAGCUUCUAGCUUGCUAGAAGUGGAUU